rnacentral:rRNA from 1 species
UACGGAGGGUACGAGCGUUAAUCGGAAUGACUGGGCGUAAAGGGCACGUAGGUGGAUAGAUAAGUCACAAGUGAAAUACCCGGGCUUAACCUGGGAUUGGCUCGUGAAACUGUUUAACUAGAGUACGGUAGAGGGGAGUAGAAUUCCAAGUGUAGCGGUGAAAUGCGUAGAGAUUUGGAAGAAUACCGGAGGCGAAGGCGGCUCUCUGGACCGAUACUGACACUGAAGAGCGAAAGCGUGGGGAG